CACCCCAUUUUAAUAUCCGACGAUACCCUCGACUUUUUUUCUACUCAUCAUCUGAGGACCUGCCCACUUUCUGCAUCGGAGUCUUCACUCCCUUUUCCUUCUUUUUGGCUCUUUCAUAUUGACCCCACCGGAAUCCAUGGAUUCUAAGGUCCUUUCCACCGGAAUCCCAUUUACCACUUUGCCGGAGAACUACAUCAGACCAGAAUCCGAGAGGCCUAGACUCUCCGAAAUUGCCGACUGCGAAAAUGUUCCUAUCAUCGACCUGAGUUGUGACGAUCGAGCCCAAAUUAUUGAGCAACUCGCUGAUGCUUGUAGCCGUUAUGGCUUCUUUCAGGUUAUUAAUCAUGGGGUGUCUGCGGAAGCCAUCGAGAAAAUGCUACAUGUGGCUAAUGAGUUUUUCCAGUUACCUGUGGAAGAGAAGAUGAAGUUGUAUUCAGAUGACCCAUCAAAGACAAUGAGGUUGUCUACCAGUUUCAAUGUCAAAAAGGAGAAAGUGCACAAUUGGAGAGAUUAUCUUAGACUUCAUUGCCAUCCUUUGGAGCAAUAUAUGCCAGAGUGGCCCUCCAAUCCUCCUGAGUUCAAGGAUACCGUGAGCAAUUACUGUGUAGAGGUUCGACAACUUGGGCACAGACUGGAAGAAGCCAUAGGAGAGAGUUUAGGCUUGGAAAAAGAUUAUAUAAGAAAUACAUUGGGUGAACAAGGGCAACAUAUGGCGGUAAACUAUUAUCCACCUUGUCCCGAGCCAGAGUUAACUUACGGACUGCCAGCACAUACGGACCCCAAUGCUCUUACAAUUCUUCUUCAAGACUCACAUGUCGCGGGUCUUCAAGUCCUUAAGGACGGCAAGUGGGUUGCUGUUAAACCCCACCCAGGUGCUUUUGUUGUUAACAUUGGCGAUCAAUUGCAGGCAUUGAGUAAUGGCAAGUACAGAAGUGUAUGGCACCGAGCCACUGUUAAUGUCGGUAAGGCAAGGAUGUCGAUUGCUUCUUUCCUCUGCCCAAGCGAUGAUGCGCUCAUUAGUCCAGCAAGGGCCCUCACGGAUGAGGGGUCUGCAGCCAUAUACAGGAGUUUCACGUAUGCAGAGUAUUACAAAAAGUUCUGGAGCAGGAACCUUGACCAAGAGCACUGUUUGGAAGUUUUUAAGAACUAGUGACCUUUAAUGUUGAGAAAACCAAGAAGAACUAAAUUGUUGUGCCUGACUUCUUUGUGGUUCUGAGUGAGAAAACCAAGAAGAACUAAAUUGUUGUGCCUGACUUCUUUGUGGUUCUGAGGUAUUUAUGACUAAAAGUUUAAGUUGCUGCUUGUUGCACUCCAGGAUAAUGGUUGCAGUUUUCACAUUAGUUGAGGAUAGAUGCUUGCUAAUUAUGUAGUUUAAUUAUGUAGUUGAAUUCUUGGACUAGGUUUGACAUCCAAUCGAAUUUUGUGAUGGGUUUCACACUAACCUCUUGUUCUGACUAGAUUUGAGUUCUUAAUCAAACUACCUAAUCAUCAAUACUAAUGCUUAGUAUAUGAUCAUUAGGAUAAGAACAUGAUGAUCCAUUUUGUAUUUAAAGGUAUCUCUAAAUUAUUAUCACGCUAUAAAAAUUUGACAGUGUAAUCAUGAGCUGUUAGGAUAAUCAUUUAGCAUGGGAAUGAAAUAAGAAAAAUAAACCGGAUUUAGUGCCCGGUUAUUCUAUAUUAAGUUGCCUAAAAUACAAGCAUAAACAAGAAAUAAACUUCAGAAAUUUCUCUGGUAAUGGAAGCAAACAAAUGCUUAAUCAGUACAUUAAAAAUCUCAUAAAAGUAAUCCCACAGCAGAUAAAAAAUAAAAAUAAAAAUUCAUAAGCAGAUACCACAUAUUUGAACUUACUAAGAUUGAUAGGAAAAAUUUGUGUAACAUCUGUAUAGUUUAGGCACGAUGCCUUUCUUCAUUGAAAAAAAACAAAACACGACUCUAAAUUACUCAAAUUACAUAAAUUUCUCAUUCGGAAACUAACUUCUUCUGGUAUAUAAUUAGUUGAAAGCUAAGAUAUCUAACCUGUUGUGGAAAAUCUCCUUUUUCCAUUUGGGAAUUAAUGAGCACCUUUGCUGCAAAAUGCAGCCGAGUUGGUUCUAUCCCUGCCUGUUCUAAUUUAAUGUUAAAAGUGAAGUGAUGAUAAGUAUUGAAUUAGUAUCCUUGGUAUUCCAUUUUCUCAUCAAGUGUUAUUUCCAUAGCUAAUAUUUAUUAAAAUUUGAGAAGACUCUUUAUUUUGGUUCAACAGAUGUUAAAAUCACACUGUCAACUUAGAUAGCUUUAACUGUUACCUUGAUUUGGCAUGAAAGGUAACUCUCUCCCCAAUCACCAGAAUCAAGCUAUAUCGAUGGUAGAAAAUCACAAGCUUUUCUGAUGAUUGAGCUAUUUUCAUAGAUCUUGACACCAGCCAACAACCCCUCUAUCCCAAACCAUGUUCCAUAGGUGUAGCAAACUCCCCAUGACCUACGCAAGAGGACUUCAAAUAAUGCUAGAUAUUGGAUUUCUUAGCUGAGAUAUUUAGUUCUGGAUACCACUAAACACAAGUAGAAAAUUCAUCCCUUCAUUCAACAAAAAAUCUAACUUUUUAAACUUUAUUUUACUUUUUGAAGGAACAAGCACAGUAUAGUGCUCAUAAAUAGUUAUAAAGUAGAAAACAAUGGUCCUCCCAAAGCCAGAAAACUCACUAUGAGCCAUUUGGUUGUUGAAUGAUUUUAUUGAAGUUGGUUGCCUGUCAAUACUUCUGUCUCUUUCCUAUGUCCUGGAUACAGUUUUGAAAAGAAUUGAAGACCUUGAUUGCCGCUGAGGUGCAUUCAACAUUUCUAAAAUAUGAUGCAUGGUCCAAGAAAACAUUGCUGUGUCAUAAAUACUCACCUAGAAUUUUCAAGACAAAUAAAUGACAGUUGUUCUCAUAUGGGUCUGGACAGCUUGUGAAUAAUUCAGAAUUUCGAUUUGAUCUACUUGUCUAUCAUCAUAUCUCCAAAUGUUCCAGAUGAAUUGAGCAUCUGAGAAACCUUGACUCAUGAGCACUUCAUUAAGUUACCAUUCAACUAUUCAAAAAGUUUGUUUGGAAGAGAACGCUUUACCUUCAGUAUCCUGUGAUGCCAAAAAGGAAUAAUUGCCUGGGUCACUGAAUUAUUGUCUAGUAGAUCCAUGAUUGUGGAUUUUAGAAUAUACAUAGCACCUAGUUCUUAUAGCAGUUUUGUUAUGAUUCAUUUGUUUUUCCAUGAAAAAAAAAAAUAUUUAAGCGUCUUAUUUGAAUUAUGUAUCCAGCUAGUUUUCUCUUUCCUUCCAAAAAGCCAAUGCCAGAGGUUCUUGAAAAUUCAUGGAGAAAGCUAUUAUGGUAAUAGUUGAUUAGUACUCAAAACCAAUGUGUUUCCUUAUAUAGAAAUAGGUUUUUGAAUACUAGAUUGGGCUCUUAUUGAAUAAUUCAAUACUAGCACCUCAUGGUAUCAAAAUAUUCUAUUCUAAUAAAUGACUGUAAGUGAAGCUUCUAGUCCUCCUCUAUUGGAUGCAAUCUAACACCACGAUAAGGUAUCGAAAUCACCCAUUACAACAACCAAGGGUCCAAAAGGUUUAGGCUAUUGUUGAAAUGAAAGUCGAUAUGAUUUGAUGUAGGGGAGCACAUUUUGAUACAAGACUUAGAGGCAUUUCAAAGGUCAAGAAGGUUUGAGCAAGUGUUGAAAUGCAAUCUAACACUACAAUGGAGGAAUCAAAAUUUUCUGUGUUGCAGGUUCCAAAUUUUCACUCUGAGACUUACCCUAUUCGUCUCUUUCUCUUAUUUUUAUAUAUUUUAGGAAAUUUAAUAAUGUUUUUUAGGGUUAUUUAUUACAUGAAAAUAAGAGAGAAUAGGAGGAGGUACACGAUAUAGAGUUAGUGAGAAAAACUUUGAUUAAAAUUGUUCGGAUUUUUUUAAUAAAUUAUUCAUAGUUUAGUUUAAUUUAGUGUAUAGGGUGUAAUAUGAUCAUGAGCAGCUAAAUCCUUUCAUUGGAGAUGUAGUAAUGAAGGCAGAUGAUAUGAGGAAAACAGGUGAUAAGAAAAAGUCAUAUUCUUCAAUUAUAGUAAGUUCCUAAUCUUUAAAUUUCAUAAGCAAGUUAAAUUCUUUGUUAGUUCAUCCCUAUUAGAGAUACAUAGAAUGCAUGUUAGGGGUUCGUUGGUGCAUAAGAGAUUAUCAAUGGUUGACCAAGUGUGAUCCUAUAUGAUUAAUAACUAAAGAAAAUUUACCAUAUAAAUAUUGAGUUUUAAAUAUUUUAAAGAUUAAAACUUCUUAUCCAAUCAUUCAUUGAAGACUAUCAAAGAAUGAAUUUCAAAUAUUCAAAACAUGGUUCCAUAUGAGAAUGAUUUGUAUCGGUGAUACAAUCUUGGAAAAACCAAAAUCCUUCAAGUAGUAUCUGUUAUUUCUCAAUCCUAGGUCUAAACCCAUAUUUAUGAAAAUCCCUAAAUUUGUUUAUCAUUGUUUUCUCAAUUAAAAAUUCAGUUUACCAAUCAAAUCACAUCUUUGAUUCAAAUAAUUUUUCAUAAAGGUUAUUAUUUGAUUUGAUCCAGACAAAAUUAGUUAAUUUUUUUUAUUCCCUGAGAAUGAUAACUCAAAAUACUACAAGUUGUGGUGAUCUUUUCUCUAGUUUUUCUUAAUCGAGAUCACUAUGUUAUUAGGCUAUAGUAAACUUAUACAAUAGACAAAAAUUGAUCUAGAAAAUGGCAUCACUACUAGGGAAUUGAUAAUGAGUUUUGUCUAAGUCAAUUAAGUACUCAUUACUUUUUAGUUUUUAGUUUUUAGUUUAAUUUUUAAUUAGAAUAGUUGUUUUUCGUUAACCAUUAAUUAUUUUGUUGUCUCUUGUUUUUGCCUUUAGUUCUCUUUCUAUUUUUUUCCCUUUUACUUUUUAUAUUUGUUUGGAAAAAGGACAUUUUAGGUAGACUUAAAAGAGAAAUUCAACCAACUUAAGGCAAGUAUGGAUAGCUAAGGAGAUUAAACAAGCAACAACAAUUAACAAGCCAAACCCUUCCAAGCUUGCAGAUCGAUGAGAGGUCAUCUUAACCUUUCUAGGUCAGCACAUCCUCAUGUUUCUUUUUUCCUCAAGAGCAUGUUAUGAUCAAACCACAAUUAAUGUCAAUGUUGCCUAUUUUUAAAGGGGGUAUGGAUGUGGAGGAAAUUUGCUUCACAGUCUAGGUAGCAAACAUGCCUAUUGAAGUGAUGAGGAUAAAACUUUUUUCUUUAACAUUAAAGAUCCAGGCCAAGAUAUGGCUUAACACUCGUAAUUUAUAAAGUAUUGGAAGUUGGACAAAUUUUCAAUCAAUAUUUUUUUCAAAAAAAUUUCUUUCACACAAGAUAGUGCACUGAAGAAAAAGAUUUCCAACUUCAAAGCACCGGAACAAGAAUCUUUGUUUGUAUGUUGGAAGAGAUCCAAUGUAAUGCUUGGUGCUUACCCACAUCAUGGAUUGAAGAUUUGGAUGUUGGUGAGUUACUUCUAUGAAGGAAUGUCUCCUCAAAUGAAGCAACUAGAGGAAACAAUGUAAGAAGGCGACUUUAUGAAAAAAAAUUCAAAAGAAGCCCUUCAAUUCUUAGAUUACAUGGUUGAAGUAUCAAUGAGUUGGGAAGAUUCAUUGAGUAAAGACAUAACCAAGGAUAAAAGCUCCACCAAAGCUCCAGGUGAAUGACAUCUUAAAGCAAGCCAAUGCAAUUAGUGCCUUUAGGCAAAGUAACAACAAUCUCCCCUCUAACAACACAUACAAUUCAAGGUAGAGAAACCAUCUAAACUUGUCUUAAAGAAGGAAUAAUCAAUUUUAGUAGGGAAUAACAUCAACUCAACCCCUAAAUUAGUUUAUGCAAUAAGGAAACCAAUUUAACAACAGUCAAGGACAAGGAUAACAACUGUUCUCUACUCAAUCCAACUCCAAUGAACCCCUAUUUGUGAGCAUUUCUUUUCAUAAAGGAAGUUAAGGAUUUGUGCAACAACCUUAAUCAACUUCAACUACUCUAAGUAUGGAAAAUCUACUUCAAUAAAUCUAUCAACAACAAGUUCAGUUCACCUUUGAGCAAAGAUAAUUCAAUGAGGAUUGAAGGAAGAUAAAUGAGGAAGAAAGGAAGAUCAAUAUUCAGACAAGCCAUACCAUCUCCAACACCUGAGCCACAAUGAAUCCGAUUUUUUCCAACCUACCUCAAGAAAAAGGGAGAUUCCCAACCUAAUCUCAACAAAAUCUAAGGAAUACUUGUGAAGCAAUAGAUUUUAAGAAGAAUAAAGAGGUAAAAACAGUACUUACAUUGAGAAGGAGUUGAAAACACAAAAACCAAAAAAGAAUGGUAAAACUGAUUAGAAGAAAGAUUCAAUUGUUUAAAAUAUAGAUCAACAAAUUUUAGAGAAGGAAUUGAGUAAGAAAUAAAAGAAAAAACAACAAGAUAAGGGAAAGACACAAUUUAGAAUUACUUAUCUUUCCUUUCAAUACUUAGGAAGCCUAAGAUCAAUAAACAAACUUCUAAUAUUCUUAAAGUGCUAAUGCAAGACAAGGUAAAUAUACCUCUCUCAAACAUGAUCAAAUAGGUGCUAACCUGUGCAAAAAUUUUAAAAGAUCCUUACGCAGUUAAAAGGAAAAUUAACAUCAACAAAAAGGCUUUUCUAAUAGAGUAGGUGAGUGCAAUGAUAGAAAACAAAGUCAUGGUGAAGUAUAAGAACCUAAACUAUCUCACUAUCUUUGUGCAAAUUAGAGAUUCAUAUGUGAAGAAGGCAUUUCUUGACUUAGGCGCAAGUGUGAACCUCCUACCUUACUCUAUUCAUUAGCAAUCAAGAUUGGAAUAAUUAAAAGCCAUGUUUAUAACUUUAUCCUUAGCUAAUAGAAAAAUCAAAAUACCUAAAGGAGUGGUGGAUGAUAUGCUAGUGCUAGUUGAAAAAUUCUACAGACAUAGAACCUUUGAGGAAAGGGGUGAAUUCAGUUCCAAUUAUCUUAGCACAAACAUUCUUAGCCAUUACUAAUGUACUUAUCAAUUGUUAGAAUGGGGUCAUGUAAUUGUCAUUUGGGAACAUGACUCUGAAGUUGAAUGCAUUUCAUCUAUGCAAGUAACAAUAAUCAUGAAGAGUUUGAACCUGAAGAAGUAUGCUUGAUUGACACUUGAAUUAAAGAACAUGCAAAUCAACUCAUGGAGAAGCAUUAGGAUAAAGUACUAACUAGUUUUCCAAGGAAAGAAGCUUAGCUAAAUGCCAUUGAAAAGAGAGAUAUGAAGAAGGACAACACUUGUUGAAAGAAGAAGAAGGUAGGACUAGAUGUUAAUAGCAUGUAAAUAGAAAACAUUAAGCAGGAAUAAUCUAAAAAGUUCCAGGAGAAGAGAUGUGAAUUGAAACCACUACUAUAGGGAUUGAAAUAUGUUUUUCUUAGUGAGAAUGAAGGAAAACCAAUGGCAAUUUCAGUUUGACUUCAUGUGGACUAAUGAGAGAGAAGAUUAUUAAAAGCUCUUAAGGAAUGCAAGGAAGCCAUUAGGUGGUCCAUAUAGACUGUGAAGAGGAUUAAACCCUUAAUUUUUACAUACGUGUCUAACUAGAGAGGGUUGUGUGACAACCCAAACCCGAAGGCUAGGACAUCACAUUCAUUUCAUAUGUGAAGCAUAAAUGCUUAACAUGAGAGUGAACUAACAAGAAAAAUUAAUCAGCAAAAUGUUAAUCCCAAAACUUAUUCGAAGUAAUAGUUAAGCUAACAAAAAAGUCUUAACUAGAAAUUUGUCUUUCCAUACAAAAAAAAUCAAUAAAUCAAAAUUUUGAUAAUUCUCUAAAAGUAGUAGUAAAAUAAACCACUAGUAUCCAAACAAACUAGCCUCAUAGCUAAAGAAAUCAAGGAACUUCUGGAGUCCUUCCUACCCAUGUUACUUCUUCCUAGAAUCAAGUGUCCUUGAAAAGAUUUAAUAAAAUGAGUAAGCUUGAAAGCUUAAUAUGAGGUAGAGAUCAAGUACAUUUAUUUUUCAAAAAUGAAAUAGGGAAUGCUUUCAACAUGAAUAUAAUCAAAAGAAACAAAAUUGUAUUACUUGUGUUAUUUUCAUAAAAGUAUUAAAUCAAAUUUUUCGAUAAACAUGCAUAUAUUAAAAAAAAAAUAGUUAAUGUUGGGAUAGAGUCUUGAAAAGUAUGAUAUUAUGUAACUAUUUUAUAUUCAUUAAUAAAUUUAUUUAUUUAUCUUUCUUGUUUACUUUACUAUCAUAUUUGCAUUAUUUGGUUAUCUAAGCAUACAUACUCAUAUCACUUACAUUGUACAUGAUUUAGGUGCAUUAGAAGAUGUACAUAGAAUAUAAGUCAUGGGUUCUUUACAAGAUGAUAAGUUUUUGUAGUCAGUUCAUGGAUUUGAGUAAUCUAGUACAAACUAGAGUAUACUACCUCCUAAUAGGAGGGUUGACUUGUCUUGGCAGUCAAGAUGGGUUUCCCAUAGUGAGUGUACUAAUGUGUGCAGUUACACAUUGGACAGGACCUACAGUGAAUCAUGAUGUAUGGGUAUUAGUUAUCAUAAUUCAGCAAGCUACCAUACUGCAUAGACUCUCAACCUUGUGAGAAUAUUAAGCUUGUGUCAAAAUCAACAAGAGACUUUGACCUAUGGGUGAGACCUUAAUGUGGUCAUAUAUCCCUAUGAAUUAGGUCACUAGUGAUGAAGGCUGGUGGCAACAUGAAUUCCCAAUAAAUGCACCAUGCUAUCUCAUUAAAGUGAGAUAGUGUGUCCUCUUAGGUGAUCUAAAAGAUGUGUGAUCUAGAAGACUAUGCCCAUAACAUUUCCUUAUUGGAAAUUUGACAUUUGCUCCUUAAAGUUGGAGUAUGUCAAUUAAUCACGUAAUAAGUAGAUCUAUAAUUUAAGGAUUUGAGAGGUAAUCUUAAUAGGUGAUAACACUACCUUGUUAUAUUACAGACACUAGUUAAAAGGGGUUUGCAUGCAAUGGAUUAUUAGGCACGAACCUAAGGUUCGCCUCAUUGUAAUUACAUAAAAUACCAUAUUGCAAUUGAUUCUCUUUAAUGGAAUAUUGAAUCAACUUCAAAAUUAGAUUUUAAGGGAGUUAAUAUUUUUAGGUGGGUCCUAGUGGUCCAUUUUCAAGCUUUUAUUUCAUGGAGGUACAUUUUAUUUGAAGAUUUUGGUUUUCUAGUUCACAAGUGUGCAGAAGGGCAUUUUGAUAAAAGCAUAAUGUUACACUAGAUCUUAUAACUUGUCUUUCUGGUAUGAGCUAAUUAAUUAAUUAGAGCUUAUUGAGGCUAAUUAAUUAAUUAGGGCCAAGUUGGGCUAGAUUAGGUUACCCAAGUCUCAUUUGGGUUUAAGUCAUUUAAUCUAAUAAUGAAGCCUAUAAAUAUCCCCUUAUUAGGGGUUAGGGUUUCAUUUUUUACCAAUCUUCUUCCAAAGAAAAUUUUCAAAGAGAAAACCUUAGCCAUCUUUCAAGAAAGAAAAGACCAUUCUAUUCUUGUGUCUAUUAUUAUGCUUAGAGAGAUCGGGUGGAAGACUAUUGGGUAGACGAGAUCUAUGACGUCUUCAACGGUUUUAAAUUCUUAUUUAACAAAUUCUAUGGAAUGCAUUUGAUCUAGGACCGUCUAGAUUUAGGUGUAUGUGGAUCCAUAUUUUUCACAUGCAUUUGAAAAACUAAUUUUUGAAAAAGAUGGACUUGCUACUUAUUUUUAUUAUUUUUUAAAGGGAAAAUAAAAUAAGAAAUAAAACCUUAAAAAUGACUUUUUAUUUGGAAAAAUAUGUUUUUGAAAAAUAAGUUUAAGUUUUGAGGUUAGAUUGCCUAUCGAGAAGGUACCAUAGGAUAGUACCCCUCCAAACCCUAAAUAAAGGUCUUUACUAAUUAAAUUAAGGUAACUAUGAUAAUCAAUUUGUAAAUCAAUAGUUACCAAGGGAGCAAUAACAUGACGAUGGUGUUGACAAAUAGAAACAUAGCAAUAAAAUAUUCACACACGACAUACAUAUCAAAUGAAAUCAAAUAAAUAGGGAAUGGAAAGAGUACCUUAAAAACAAGUCAAAAACUUUUAUAAAACAAUAAAUGUAAACAAUAAUAUUAAAAUCCUAUGUCAUACAUAACAUGAAUCAACUUUGAUCAAAAAUAAAAAAUAAUAAUAAUGCAUAGGCAACAAAUGAAUCUAACAUACAUACAUCCACAAAGCAUACUCAAAUGAAAUAUAAAAAAUAACAUAAUGAUGUAAAAAGAUACAUACUUGAUGUGUGUGACAUGCUCUCAAUAUAAAUCUGGAUUAAAAGAAUUCACAAUUAUACAUAAGAAAAAAGGAAUUAUCUAAAAUGAACAAAACACUUAGCAAUAGGGAAAAAAAUGAAGUGUUCAUGAAAUAAAUCAAAAUGAAAUAUUUAGAUAUGGUAUUUUAUCAAAAUAAAAAAUUUUCAUCACCUUUAAAGUGUUAAAAAUGUAAAGCAAGUGUCAAAAUAAUUUAAUCAAUCACCAAUUAUUCCAUAUUAAAUUGAAUUUAUUAUCACUUUUCGAAACAUUCAACAACAUGGUAGAACAAAGGAACAUAAAAAAUAAAUCCUAAAAAAAAUAUCUAGAAAUGAAAUUUCACCAUGAAAAAAAAAAAAAAAAAAGACAACAUCUUUUGUAUGUCUAGAUUACAGCCCAGAAGGCAAAAUCAUUAAAUUAUGUUCCGAUUAAUACCAGAUUCUAUCACAAGCAUAUAGAUCAGAAACAAAGAAGAUUUUAGUAUCAUAAAAAGAUGAAUUUAUUUGACUAACCUAGAAGCACGAUAAAAUCAAGAGAAAAAUUGUACAAUGUAUUCGAUAGGCCUAUAUUACAAAAAAAUAGCAGCAUGAUUAAAUCACAUAAGGAGAAUUUUUAAAUGAAUCCAAAUAGACUUUGACUAUAGAAUAGGGUCAAUGUAGUGGGCGUAGGAAAUUUUUUUUUUCCUACUUAAGAAUAACUUUUGAACAAAGAAGCAUCUUAAAAUUAACUUCAAGACGUGUAGACUAAGGGGAAAAAAUAUCAUACAAAAUUAAAAAAAAUCAAGAAAUAAUUUAUUUUUAUAAAAUUGGUGCAGGUGUAUAGAAUAGUGUCAAAACAGGACCUAUUUAAUAACCAAUGUAGAUCUCUCAAUUAAAAAAUGAUUUAAAAUCAAAUAAAGUCUAAUUGAUAAGUUUAAAAGGUUAGUAAUAAGUUAAAAGUAUGAAAUUCAUUUUAGAAAAACAAUAAGCCAUUCGAUUCCAAUUUUUCAAUUAAGUGGUUAAUAAUACAACAAACACUGGCAAUAGGUUUUUUCAAAGUUAGAUGUAUGUAGGGCUUCACCAAGUCCCUAUUUAAUAUACACAAAUUUAAUUCAUUCAUUUUUAACCUGAUAUGAUCAUUAGCAAGCUCAUCAAGGUAAAGAAUCAUUCCAUUUUGUUCAGAACCAUGAACUUGGAUUCAUAUAUCACAAAAUCAAAAUUCAUUUGAAAACCAAUGGAAAAAUGCACACCGAUUGAAAUUGGUUGCAUGUCUUUUGAAAAUGAUUAUUUUUUUUAACCCUAGUGACCUAAGAUGAAUUUUUAAUAGAUGUUAGAGGAUCGAUCUAUUUAGGAAAAGGUUUACAAAAGAAAAAACAAUUUUAAAGACCCUAAACACAUAAAAUAUCAGACACAAACAACAAUGAAAAAAGUGUAAUGCAUGAAGAUGAUUAUGUGGCUAUA